UGCACCCAUAUAUGCUACAGUCUAUGGCACCCCGAAAUUAACGACAGAAGAAGAGAUGCUGCGAAAGACAGCAGGAGAAACUACCUCGAGAAGAUGAGAUGAGAAUCUGAGCUGAGACUAGGCCAAAGAAAAGGACUGACACUGUGGACUUUUUCUGUAAGACCAAACAGCACUUCGAAUAGAGUCCCAGGGGGUGUAGAGAGAUUCCUGCAGGCGCAACCCGGUCUCACUCCCAAGUGGUCAAAUCCUGCAGCUCGGUCAGUGGCCCUCCGCUUCAAAA